rnacentral:rRNA from 1 species
GCCCAGACUCCUACGGGAGGCAGCAGUAGGGAAUCUUCCGCAAUGGACGAAAGUCUGACGGAGCAACGCCGCGUGAGUGAUGAAGGUUUUCGGAUCGUAAAACUCUGUUGUUAGGGAAGAACAAGUACCAUAGUAACUGAUGGUACCUUGACGGUACCUAACCAGAAAGCCACGGCUAACUACGUGCCAGCAGCCGCGGUAAUACGUAGGUGGCAAGCGUUGUCCGGAUUUAUUGGGCGUAAAGCGCGCGCAGGCGGUCUUUUAAGUCUGAUGUGAAAGCCCACGGCUCAACCGUGGAGGGUCAUUGGAAACUGGGAGACUUGAGUGCAGAAGAGGAGAGUGGAAUUCCACGUGUAGCGGUGAAAUGCGUAGAGAUGUGGAGGAACACCAGUGGCGAAGGCGACUCUCUGGUCUGUAACUGACGCUGAGGCGCGAAAGCGUGGGGAGCGAACAGGAUUAGAUACCCUGGUAGUCCACGCCGUAAACGAUGAGUGCUAAGUGUUAGAGGGUUUCCGCCCUUUAGUGCUGCAGCUAACGCAUUAAGCACUCCGCCUGGGGAGUACGGCCGCAAGGCUGAAACUCAAAGGAAUUGACGGGGGCCCGCACAAGCGGUGGAGCAUGUGGUUUAAUUCGAAGCAACGCGAAGAACCUUACCAGGUCUUGACAUCCUCUGACACUCCUAGAGAUAGGACGUUCCCCUUCGGGGGACAGAGUGACAGGUGGUGCAUGGUUGUCGUCAGCUCGUGUCGUGAGAUGUUGGGUUAAGUCCCGCAACGAGCGCAACCCUUGAUCUUAGUUGCCAGCAUUCAGUUGGGCACUCUAAGGUGACUGCCGGUGACAAACCGGAGGAAGGUGGGGAUGACGUCAAAUCAUCAUGCCCCUUAUGACCUGGGCUACACACGUGCUACAAUGGAUGGUACAAAGGGCAGCAAAGCCGCGAGGCCGAGCCAAUCCCAUAAAGCCAUUCUC